GACCGAAGGACAAAGCCUGGGAGGAAGACUACAAGCCUUCAGCACGAGCGAUCCCCAGAGACCCCCAGAGACUGAUGCGCAUGCCCCAGUAGGAGGGA